ensembl:misc_RNA Y_RNA Y RNA
GGUCGGCCUAAGGGUAAAGGUGGAAUUGAAAUCAGUUAGAAAUAAAACAGAUUUAAGAUGCUCCCUGCAUUUCCACUGCUUCACUUGACUAGACGAAA